rnacentral:tRNA from 1 species
GGAUGUGGCUCAAGCGGUAGUGCGCUCGCCUGGCAUGCAUGGGGCACUGGGUUCGAUUCUCAGCACCA